rnacentral:misc_RNA from 1 species
CUUCUGUGCGAUUUGAACCUGCUACCUCUCGAUCCAUAUAUCACUGCCUAUCCCACUGAGCUAAUCUGGCACUUACCAAAAAUGUGUAUUUUAUUGUAUAAAUGAAAUGCUUUGGAAGCUGAACAACAGCUGAAAUAAAUUUGAAGAAGCGCUGUUUAUUUGUCGAACAAAAGCUGAAAAUAAUUAUCGGAAUUUUAGUUGAAUAACUUCUGAAUACUUUCUGCAAAAGUAAACAACGCCACAUUCACUAAAUUUUAGCUGAAUUGAGAUUGAUUAUUAGCAGAACAAAACACUCCUGGGAUUUACCGCGAAAAUACUGUCUUGUCUGUAAACGGAGAUCAAAAUUUAUUUGUUUUUCCUAUUUUUAUAGUGAUUUUUGCGUAAGUUUUAAGUCAAAAUGAAUAGGUGUAAUCCAGAACCCCAUUUUAAAAUCGUUGAGACGAUAGAAGCUGGAAGGUCGGUCUUAACUGUUGUUCCACACAAGUGGAUAAAAAACAAAAUUUUAUUUUGGCCACCAAAAAACGUGAAAAAUCUGAUAAAGGAUGUCAAUUCUACUCCAGACAUUACGUGGAAUAAAAUAAUAUGUCGCAUCAAAAGAAAUUAUUAUAAAAAUCGCAUUGCAGCUGAAACUGAACUUUUAGAAGUGUCGGGAGGUUCGGCAACGUCUUCAACUGAUUCCGAGGUUUUAGGAGAAAUGAAAGAAAAAAAUAAAGUAAGAAACACAAAAAAGGUCACUAGUCAACAAAAUUUUGAAACUCUGUUUGCAUCAUCAUCGUCAAAAUUUUGUUCGUUUCAACCAAUCAUACCGGAAGAAACUCCUGAGCCUGUUGUUGAAAGCGAAAAUAUAAUUUUGGAAACCAAUUUUUCGGAUGAGGCAAUUAUUUCUCCUGAAGCAAUUGCAAAUGCGCAGUUUUUAAAUGUCAUCGAACAGCCUUUGAUUGGAGAAGAAAGUAAAAACGACAUUAUUAACAAGUUGAAUGACAUUGAGCAAAAAUUUAAUCAGUUUAAAAAUGAUAUAACAGAGAGCGUAAAAGAUAUGUUGGUGAAGGCAGUUGCGGCAAUUAAAUCAGAUUUUGAUGCCAAAUUAUUGUCAGCAAUGCAGAAUUUUAAAAACAAUCAUCAGGAUGAUGACAAUAUUCAAUUUGAAUUUCAUGCCGUUUCAACCUCACAGGAGUUAAGUCAAUUAGAGGAAAAUCUCAAAGAUUCAAAUUAUGAAAAGAAAGUAGUAAGUUAUAUUAUUUCAGUUUUCAUUUAAUCUUUUAAAUUUAAUGUUGAUACUGUUUUCUAGAGAAAUUAUUUUAAAAAAAUUAUUGGUAAUAUUCCUGAUACUAGUAAUGGUUUGGAUACCUGCUAGGGUAUUGUAGAUUAUUUUUUUGAGAAAAAAUUUAUGGUGCAGUGUUCGUGGACGGGAGGAAGUAGAAGCAACACUGAAAAAUGUUGUAUUAAAAAUUGCAAAAAUAUUUUAGAAGUGUUUUUUACAAUAGUCCAAAGUUCCAAUAAAGAUUUUUCGAAGGCUUUGUUGAAAAAAUUUAUAAUUGGAAUUACAAGAAAUGCAAAGAAGCGUAGUUUAACUGGAGGCAUCCGCCAAUCUUCAAUACAUAGAAGAAAAAAAUCAAUGGUUAAAAAACAACGUUUAAGUGGAAACAGAAAAGGUGUUGCUCAAAGACAAGGCGAAAAUGAAAUUUUUUAUGAAAAUGAGCAAUCAUUUAAUGAAGAAAAAGAAUAUGAUGAAGAUAACGAUGAAUAUGGUAUGGAAAAAUAUGAAGCUGACGGUGAAGAUGCUAUAAUAGAACAUGACGAGGUUGAAGAGGAAGAUAAUAAUGAUACAGACACGGACUAAAAGAACAUUUUUAUUAAAAAAACUUUUUAAUUUACAUUCAAGUUUUGUUUAUUUUUAAUAGUGUGUAGAAGAGGAAUAAAAACAAUUUUACUUUCA